GACUCCGUAGCUCAAUGGGUGAGUGCCCGAUCGUUGAUCGGGUGGCCGCUGGUUCGAUUCCGGCAGCGGGCU
rfam:Streptomyces sp. 769, complete genome.